GAUCAUGGCUCAGGAUGAACGCUAGCUACAGGCUUAACACAUGCAAGUCGAGGGGCAGCAUGGUCUUAGCUUGCUAAGGCCGAUGGCGACCGGCGCACGGGUGAGUAACACGUAUCCAACCUGCCGUCUACUCUUGGACAGCCUUCUGAAAGGAAGAUUAAUACAAGAUGGCAUCAUGAGUUCACAUGUUCACAUCAUUAAAGAUUUAUCGGUGUACGA
rnacentral:rRNA from 1 species